AUUGAACGCUGGCGGCAGGCCUAACACAUGCAAGUCGAGCGGAGAUGAGGUGCAUGCACCUUAUCUUAGCGGCGGACGGGUGAGUAAUGCUUAGGAAUCUGCCUACUAGUGGGGGACAGCAUUACGAAAGGAAUGCUAAUACCGCAUAAGCGCUAAGGGGGAAAGCAGGGGAUCUUCGGACCUUGCGCUAAUAGAUGAGCCUAGGUCGGAUUAGCUAGUUGGUGGGGUAAAGGCCUACCAAGGCGACGAUCUGUAGCGGGUCUGAGAGGAUGAUCCGCCACACUGGGACUGAGGCACGGCCCAGACUCCUACGGGAGGCAGCAGUGGGGAAUAUUGGACAAUGGGCGGAAGCCUGAUCCAGCCAUGCCGCGUGUGUGAAGAAGGCCUUUUGGUUGUAAAGCACUUUAAGCGAGGAGGAGGCUACCUGGAUUAAUACUCUAGGAUAGUGGACGUUACUCGCAGAAUAAGCACCAGCUAACUCUGUGCCAGCCGCCGCGGUAAAAC
rnacentral:rRNA from 1 species